GACGGAGGGUGCUAGCGUUGUUCGGAAUCACUGGGCGUAAAGCGCGUGUAGGCGGCCCUGCAAGUCGGAUGUGAAAUCCCACGGCUCAACCAUGGAAGUGCAUUCGAAACUGCAGAGCUAGAGUCCUGGAGAGGAAGGUGGAAUGCUUGGUGUAGAGGUGAAAUUCGUAGAUAUCAAGCGGAACACCGGUGGCGAAGGCGGCCUUCUGGACAGUGACGUGACGCUGAGACGCGAAAGCGUGGGGGAGCAAACAGG
rnacentral:rRNA from 1 species